rnacentral:lncRNA from 12 species
UAUCAUCAAUCCAUCUGCAGGAAUGAAUCCCUCAGUUCUCACUCCUGGUGUCGGCAGCUGGAGAUCUUGUGGGAAGUGAUGGCCAUGCAGUUGGGCAGUGAACCUUGAGUCACCUAUAAUUAGGCAAGGAAACAAGUGUACCGGAAACCAUACAAACAAGCACUGUGUCCAUCCCUUGUUACCGAAGUGUCUGGGAGAUGUGAGCUCAAGUGGGAGCCCUGGGGAAAGGACUGUUUGGACAAAUCCUGGAGGCUGAGUUUCAGACAGGCACUGCAGAGUGUGGGAACACUGGCUCUUCCAUGAAUAUCCAUUUCUAGAAAAAAAU